rnacentral:rRNA from 1 species
UACGGAGGAUGCAAGCGUUAUCCGGAUUCAUUGGGUUUAAAGGGUGCGUAGGCGGAUGCGUAAGUCAGUGGUGAAAUCUCCGAGCUCAACUGUGAAACUGCCAUUGAUACUGCCAGUCUUGAAUGAGGUUGAAGUAGGCGGAAUAUGUCGUGUAGCGGUGAAAUGCUUAGAUAUUACAUAGAACACCAAUUGCGAAGGCAGCUUACUAAACCUUAAUUGACGCUGAGGCACGAAAGCGUGGGGAUCAAAC